rnacentral:rRNA from 1 species
GAUGAACGCUGGCGGCGUGCCUAAUACAUGCAAGUCGAGCGAACGGACGAGAGGCUUGCUUCUCUGAUGUUAGCGGCGGACGGGUGAGUAACACGUGGAUAACCUACCUAUAAGACUGGGAUAACUUCGGGAAACCGCAGCUAAUACCGGAUAAUAUUUUGAACCGCAUGGUUCAAAAGUGAAAGACGGUCUUGCUGUCACUUAUAGAUGGAUCCGCGCUGCAUUAGCUAGUUGGUAAGGUAACGGCUUACCAAGGCAACGAUGCAUAGCCGACCUGAGAGAGUGAUCGGCCACACGGGAGCUGGGACACGGUCCAGGCUCCUGCGGGAGGCAGCAGUAGGGAAUCUGCCGCAAUGGGCGAAAGCCUGACGGAGCAACGCCACGUGAGUGAUGGAGGUCUUCGGAUCGUAAAACUCUGUUAUUAGGGAAGAACAGAUGUGUAAGUAACUGUGCACAGCGUGACGGUACCUAAUCAGAAAGCCACGGCUAACUACGUG